UAAACAUUGAUAUCUUUUUACACCCGUUAUCCGCCUGGGGACUACGAGCACUUUAGCUUAAAACCCAAAGGACCUGGCGGUGCUUGAGACCCCCCUAGAGGAGCCUGUUCUAGAACCGAUAAUCCCCGUUCAACCUCACCCCCCCUUGUUCAUUCCGCCUAUAUACCGCCGUCGUCAGCCCACCCUGUGAAGGACUAAUAGUGAGCAAAAUUGGCAUAGCCUAAAACGUCAGGUCGAGGUGUAGCAUAUGGGGGGGGAAGAAAUGGGCUACAUUCUCUAAAUAUAGAGCAUACGGAUAAUAUAUUGAAAUAUAUAUUUAAAGGUGGAUUUAGUAGUAAGCAGGAAGUAGAGUGUUCUGCUGAACUCGGCCCUAAAGCGUGC
rnacentral:rRNA from 1 species